GCAUCUUACAGCAUUCGAUGGGCAAAGAGGCAACCUGCAGAGCCAAGACUCGUCCAGAAGGGGCCACAGGGGGCGCUGCAGGGAGGUUACCUUCUGAGUUCCCCCGUGGAUCGACCUCUCAGUGAAGCUUCCUGGAUUCGCUUCUCAAAACCCCUCGAGCCAUAGCCUCCUGGACUACUUCGGCAACCUUAGGCAUCUCCUAGAACAUCUGUGCCUCAACCUGUCUGCCAACUUUAACUCUAUUCCGAGAUCCAGCUCGCCACAUGGAUCAACACCCCCUGGACUCUGGUCACACCUUCCUGGCCUUUACCAUCAACCUCCGACCAUGAACUUCAUGCCUGUGUCGAAGGAACCCCCUGGACCCAGACAUUGCCCAUCGUCUUUGUAUUACAAUAAAUGUGUUAUUUGAU